rnacentral:rRNA from 1 species
GAUGAACGCUGGCGGCGUGCCUAAUACAUGCAAGUCGAGCGAACGGACGAGAAGCUUGCUUCUCUGAUGUUAGCGGCGGACGGGUGAGUAACACGUGGAUAACCUACCUAUAAGACUGGGAUAACUUCGGGAAAUCGGAGCUAAUACCGGAUGAUAUUUUGAACCGCAUGGUUCAAAAGUGAAAGACGGUCUUGCUGUCACUUAUAGAUGGAUCCGCGCUGCAUUAGCUAGUUGGUAAGGUAACGGCUUACCAAGGCAACGAUGCAUAGCCGACCUGAGAGGGUGAUCGGCCACACUGGAACUGAGACACGGUCCAGACUCCUACGGGAGGCAGCAGUAGGGAAUCUUCCGCAAUGGGCGAAAGCCUGACGGAGCAACGCCGCGUGAGUGAUGAAGGUCUUCGGAUCGUAAAACUCUGUUAUUAGGGAAGAACAUAUGUGUAAGUAACUGUGCACAUCUUGACGGUACCUAAUCAGAAAGCCACGGCUAACUACGUGCCAGCAGCCGCGGUAAUACGUAGGUGGCAAGCGUUAUCCGGAAUUAUUGGGCGUAAAGCGCGCGUAGGCGGUUUUUUAAGUCUGAUGUGAAAGCCCACGGCUCAACCGUGGAGGGUCAUUGGAAACUGGAAAACUUGAGUGCAGAAGAGGAAAGUGGAACUCCAUGUGUAGCGGUGAAAUGCGCAGAGAUAUGGAGGAACACCAGUGGCGAAGGCGACUUUCUGGUCUGUAACUGACGCUGAUGUGCGAAAGCGUGGGGAUCAAACAGGAUUAGAUACCCUGGUAGUCCACGCCGUAAACGAUGAGUGCUAAGUGUUAGGGGGUUUCCGCCCCUUAGUGCUGCAGCUAACGCAUUAAGCACUCCGCCUGGGGAGUACGACCGCAAGGUUGAAACUCAAAGGAAUUGACGGGGACCCGCACAAGCGGUGGAGCAUGUGGUUUAAUUCGAAGCAACGCGAAGAACCUUACCAAAUCUUGACAUCCUUUGACAACUCUAGAGAUAGAGCCUUCCCCUUCGGGGGACAAAGUGACAGGUGGUGCAUGGUUGUCGUCAGCUCGUGUCGUGAGAUGUUGGGUUAAGUCCCGCAACGAGCGCAACCCUUAAGCUUAGUUGCCAUCAUUAAGUUGGGCACUCUAAGUUGACUGCCGGUGACAAACCGGAGGAAGGUGGGGAUGACGUCAAAUCAUCAUGCCCCUUAUGAUUUGGGCUACACACGUGCUACAAUGGACAAUACAAAGGGCAGCGAAACCGCGAGGUCAAGCAAAUCCCAUAAAGUUGUUCUCAGUUCGGAUUGUAGUCUGCAACUCGACUACAUGAAGCUGGAAUCGCUAGUAAUCGUAGAUCAGCAUGCUACGGUGAAUACGUUCCCGGGUCU